GCAAUGGUGGUUCAGUGGUAGAGUUUUGCCUUCCACGCAGGAAACGUGGGUUCAAUUCUUGGCCAAUGCA
rnacentral:tRNA from 1 species